UACGGAGGGUGCAAGCGUUAUCCGGAUUUAUUGGGCUUAAAGGGUGCGUAGGCGGCUUUGUAAGUCAGUGGUGAAAUCCUCCAGCUUAACUGGAGGGGUGCCAUUGAUACUGCGGAGCUUGAGUACAGAUGAGGUAGGCGGAAUUGACGGUGUAGCGGUGAAAUGCAUAGAUAUAGGAAGGAACACCAGUGGCGAAGGCGACCACCCGGACUGAUACUGACACUGAGGUGCGAAAGCGUGGGGAGCAAACAGG
rnacentral:rRNA from 1 species